UGCAUCGGAACGUGCCCAGUAGUGGGGGAUAGCCCGGCGAAAGCCGGAUUAAUACCGCAUGAGACCUGAGGGUGAAAGCGGGGGAUCGCAAGACCUCGCGCUACUGGAGCGGCCGAUGUCAGAUUAGCUAGUUGGUGGGGUAAAGGCCUACCAAGGCAACGAUCUGUAGUUGGUCUGAGAGGACGACCAGCCACACUGGGACUGAGACACGGCCCAGACUCCUACGGGAGGCAGCAGUGGGGAAUUUUGGACAAUGGGCGCAAGCCUGAUCCAGCAAUGCCGCGUGCAGGAAGAAGGCCUUCGGGUUGUAAACUGCUUUUGUCAGGGAAGAAAUCUUCUGGGUUAAUACCUCGGGAGGAUGACGGUACCUGAAGAAUAAGCACCGGCUAACUACGUG
rnacentral:rRNA from 2 species